AUACUUACCUGGCAAGGGAGAUACCGUGAUCAAGAAGGCGGUUCACCCAGGGUGAGGCUCAGCCAUUGCACUCCGGCUGUGCUGACCCCUGCGAAUUUCCCAAAUGUGGAAAUCUCGAUUGCAUAAUUUAUGGUAGUGGGGGACUGCGUUCGCGCUCUCCCCUG
ensembl:snRNA U1 U1 spliceosomal RNA